rnacentral:lncRNA from 1 species
UGAUGAAUGAGAAGGAAAGUCGAAAUCAGCAAGUUACAAAAUUCCAUGAAGAGCAGCGAUCUUUGGUUAGCAAGUUGAAAUCAGCAAAUGAUACUGUAGUAGGCCUAGGACAGGAGCUGCAAAAAGAAAGAAAAGUGAUUGGAGAGCUCAAAGCAACAAUUGAUGGUCUUCAAACUGACCUUGUGAAGGCUCGGGAAGAUAAAAAAGAAAUACAAGAAAAGUUAACGGAGAAGCUGGAAUCUCUUGGAGUCCUGCAAGAAAAGACAAACUUUCUUAGUGGAGAGAUCAAGGAUAAAGAUGAUACUAUUCAAAGUCUUAGCUCUGCACUUGCUAAGAAAGAAUUGGAGCUUGGAAAAACUCAACUCUAUCUAUCAACAAUUGCAGGAUCAGUUUGCAGGCUUGAACUCAGAGAAUGAAGAACUGAAGGAUAAGCUACUGAAAAAUGAAAAUGAGCUGGAACUGAAAACUGCUGCAGUGGAUGAUCUGAAUGUGCAAGUAGGUAUGUUGAUUGCUGAGAAAGAGGAAUCUAAGAGAAAGUUUGAUGCAAUAAAAGGGGAGUACAAUGACUUGAAGUCUUCAUCAAUGAAGAAGGCAGCUGAAGAUGCCAAACUCUUGGAAAUGCAAGACCUUAAACUUCAGCAAUUGGAGGAGCAGCUUGAGUCUACCUCAAGUGAAGUAAGCAGAAGCAAACUUCAAAUUGCUGGUUUAUCAAAAGAAAGAGAUGAUUUGAGGAAUACGUUGGACGUAGAACUGAAUAAGUUGGAGAGUUUGGAGCAAGAGCUCCAAACACACUUGUAAAUUUAGAAAAAUCAAGGAACGAAGCUUCUGGAUUGGCAAGUCAACUUCAGCUAGCAAGAGAAUUGUGCUUGGAGCUUGAAGUUGAAGUUUCUAAGGUUAGGGCAGACUUUGCUGAAACUAAGGAGACCUUACAGAAGAAAGCUGAAGAAGCAAGGAGAGAUGCCGAGGUUUUAGCUGGUGAGCUAACAUCUGUGAAGGAGCUCCUGAAGGAAAAAACUGAAGAGAUUCUAAAUGUGUCUAAUGAACUCGCUGCUGUUGUACAAACACGUGAUGAGCUUCAAAAGGAACUAGUUGACGUCUACAAGAAAGCAGAAAGUGCAGCUAACGAUCUAAAUGAAGAAAAAGCAAUUGUUGCUUCUUUGAACAAAGAGUUGAAAGCUUUAGACACUAGAGUCUCUAAAGAGAGUGAAGCCCGGAAAUCACUCGAGAGGAAUCUGGAAGAAGCUACAAGAUCACUGAAUGAGAUUAAUCAGAAUGCGCUAAUACUUUCAAGGGAGCUAGAGCUUGCUAACAGUCAGAUUUCCAGCCUCGAAGAUGAGAAAGAUGCACUCUAUAAAUCCUUGGCGAGCAAAAACAAGUUUCUCAAGAAGCACGAGAAAACAUGGAUGAUGCACAUAGCCUUAUAAGGCAACUAGGGCAGGAAAGGGAGAGUUCGGAAAGAGAGCAAAGAAACUAGAAGAGGAAUUGGCUGCUGCAAAGGGUGAAAUACUGCGGCUAAGGAGUCGCAUAAAUUCCUCGAAAACUAAUGUGAAUGACCAGCAUCAGCAAACUGUUGAAGUGGGAGCUAAAGCUGCCGCUCCUGUGAAGAGAGUUGCCAGGAGGAGAAAGGCUGUUCGACAGAAAGAUGAGUCGACAGAAAGAUGAGUCAUAGCCUUUUGUUCCUGUUCUAUUCAUUUUCCUGUCCUUGACACGAGCUGCACCUAAUUGAAAUUAUAGAAUGUAAUCAUUGGUAUGUAAAUUUUGGAACAUUCAUUCGGAUGUUCUCUUGUAGGGAAAGCUUAUAUUGAGUUGUAUUAUUAAGGCUGUGCCCUACUUUCUUGAUACGUCUUCUUCUUGCUGUGAAACGUGUUGGAAAUGGAAAGGUCAAGUUAGUGUAUGUUCCUCUGAUUAGUAAAUAGUUAGUAUGAAUUUAGCUAACUUUUGAGUUGCCUUGCUGCAUAUUAUAGAAUUAUGUGGAAAAACAUAUAAUAUAUACUGAGAGAUAACACGGUUAUAUUGACUACUGAAAUCGGCUGGAGUGCCGGUGAAAGCCAAACAUGAUUUUGGAUUUGAGUAUCAAAAACACGAAAGGAGUCUGAUUUUCUAGCGACCACAGUGGGAGUCGAACCCACGACCUUUUGAUCCGAAGUCAAACGCGCUAAUCCACUGCGCUAUGCGGUCAGAUGAGUGAGUGGCAAAAUCAACUAUAAGAUAGGUACUUAUGGACAUGAAAUCCAUGGCAAUUGGCACCUGUGAACAUGAAAUCGACAUGAAUAUAUUUACCUGUUUCGUUUGAGAAUGUAAGGAAAAGGCCAAAAAAAAAAAGUGUUUUUUUUAAUAGAUUUUCUUAUUUUAAAAUUUUCAAAAAUGAAUUAAUUAUUUAAUCAUAAACUAAAAAUUAGAUCAAGAUAAAAAUAUGAUUCAAAAUAAAAAAAAAUUAUACAUCAUCCAACAAAAAACAACUUAUGUAAUUUUGAACCCCAACAAUAGUAGAAAUAUUUGUUAACGCUUUUGUUUUAAACCUUUAACACAAUGUGCUUGUGAUGAACAACAAAAUUUUAAGACAAGAAGUCCAAUAGCCACUUCAUUGAAUUUACAAAUCACAUUUUGUUCAUUUUUAUAUUUAUUUUUUUUUAUCCCUUGAGGAAAGUGAUUUUUUUUUGGAUUAAUUUUAUCUACGCUAUCAAUGUAUGAUUAUCGUCAUUAGAUACAUGUAUAAAUGUUGAAUUUUACAGUGUAUAUAAAAUUUACUUUUUCUUUUUUCCAUUUUCCCAAUUUUCCAUUUUUCUUUAGAAAAGACAAAUGGCAAUUUAGUAAUUAAGCAUCAGGAUAUCCAAUCGGCCCUCUCGGCAGCAGUCAUCGACUCAUCACUCCAAACACUAAUCUUUCUUCUCCCCUCGCUCUCUUUCCAUUUUUUCUUUCUUUCUUCUAAGUUUUUGCUGUUAAAAUCAAUGGAAUCUCAGUCAUAUCGGUAAAUCAGAUGGCUCAAAGCCUUUCAAUUUUCAUUGAUUUACUCUAAAAUUAUUUUCGACCCCCAAGAUUAGGGUCGUUUUCACAUUUGACACCGAAUAAAGCGAGCUAUUUCGGAAAGCUUUCAUUGAUUUUGUUGGGUGAAAAAGGAAUUCUUGUGACUCGUCAUCGUCUCAGAGUCAUGUUCUAUGGUGCGGUGGUGUGGGAUCCAUGGCUGAUCGUUGCCCAAAUUGUGUGCCUCCAAUGCUUAUACUACCUAACUCUAGGGCUUUUUCUGGCAAUUCUGGUCGGAACUAGAGUUUCGCGGAUGAGUUUGGUAUAUUUCUUUGAUUACGCCACUGUCACCGCUUCCACGGUCACCGGUUGGUGCGUCAUUGCUUCAUUUAUUCUUAGCUCGCUUGCUGGGUAAGCUUUUGUUUUUGUAAAACUCAAUUUACGUAAAUAUUAUUGUGCUUGAGUUGUUUUUGAAUUGCAAGUCAGUUUAGUUUUCUCGUUUGAGUCUGAAUAUUCUGAAAUUUCUUAGGAGUGUGAGAGUUGUUUGUUUAAUUUUUAAGGGAUCCGAUUUCCAAAUUAUGUUUAAUUUCAGCUCUCAGUUUUGACUAAUUUGUUCUCCUAUCGAGAUUUACUGGUAAUGCGUGUUUUUUUUUUUAAGAAAUAACUGGUUAUGCGUGUUACUUGUUAAAAAAAAAAAACGAUUCUGUGACAUAAUCUGGCUUUUUUUUUGUCGGCUUUCCUUGAGUGACUUAUUUUUCACAUGCUUAAUUCAGUCAAAUUCGUAAUGAGGUAGUCUUACUUUGCCAUGGUUUUGGUAAACCUCAAAUGAUUACUCAUUUACUUAGCUGGCCUUUGCAAAGAAUAGCUUUUCAGAGGUCUAAUUGCAAGACAAGCAAGAAUUUUGUGAAAAAAGACAAGAAAGUCUUUUUUAAUAUCUAAUUUACCUGUUUAUGGAAUUUGGAUCUAUAAUUCCAUGCACUACUGGGGGUUUGGACGGAACUAAUAAACAAACCUUGUGCCCACUUCAUUCUGGGCAGUGUAGCUUAAUCAUAAUCAUUGGAACGUCUCUGGAUAUUCUUAAUGCUUCCUUUACUGAGAAAAGUGAUACCUUGGUUAACAAAACGAGAUAUGAGACUUGAGAGCUGAGAAUAUUCUAGAGAGAUUAGUUAGUUUGCACAGUGAUCUUUCCAAUUUUUUAGUGACAGGCGAUUUUCAUUUGCGCCCAAAGAGUGGUGAUGUUGGAGGCUCAAAGGGGCAUUGACUUUGCAUGUUGGAAUUUUAAGUAAAAUUUUAUUUAUAUUAUGGCCUUUUUGAAAUGUUUAUUUUCUGUUUUAUACUGCAUGUAUUAUUGCUUGACAUCUGAAAGAAGAAGAAACAGAAUAUUUGUGUUUGUCUGAGAAUUUUAUUACUAGAGCUUUCAUGAACUGUAAACAAUUUAACUAGUGUAGUCUUCAUUGUUGUUUGGAACAGAGCUGGAUUCUUAGUUUAUCUGGUUGAGAGGGCAAAGAAGUGCCUGGAUUUCUCAGCCACCCUUUACAUUAUCCAUAUUUUUAUAUGUAUCAUAUAUGGAGGUUGGCCUUCCUCGAUAACUUGGUGGGUUGUUAAUGUCACUGGACUUGCAGUGAUGGCAUUGUUGGGUGAAUAUUUGUGCAUAAGACGUGAAUUGCGUGAAAUUCCCAUUACAAGAUACCGUUCAAGUAAGUCUUCUUGCUCGGCUUGUUACUUCUCCAAGAAAGUGCUUCAAAAGAAAGUUAGAUGUUAUAAUCUCCUUAACAUAUCUUGUUGGUGCCGAUUCCAUCUAACUGUUUUAUUCGUUUGAUUACUUCUUGUUCUUUUCUGUCUUAACAUCAUUGAUCUCCUUUACUGGUUUGGUGCUUUUUUUUUUGGUCUUAUGCAUUAGUCUGCGGUUGAGCUGAAUCGCUCAUACUCUUGCCUAUGUGAUUUUUCAAAAACAAAAAAUCUAGCUUUUUUUUUUCUGGGUGUGAAAACGUCAUCAAUUGACCUUUAUUUCUUCAAUUCAUCCAAGAAGGCAUCUGCUAUCCUAUUUUUCAUGGUAGUCAAUAGCAUUUCCAUAUCUGACAGUCAACGGGAAAUUCAAAUUGAACUGCUUAUAUGCUUUGAUUUGCCAUUUGCACUGGCACAUGGUCAGAGGUAGCUUGUAAGAAUUUUGGGAGAUUUACUAAGACAUUUAUCAUUUAUAUAGUUUGGAGCUUUUCUGGUUGAGUUAGCAUACUUCUCCCCAAAAUAGCACAAUGUUCUUGGCAUUGCACACUGUAGUUUCUAGUAAUUUUGAUGUAAAUGCUCCUAGCAAGAUACUUCCCAAGUUACUAUGAUCUUUGCAUCAUUGUUCAUGUUCUGGAUUUGUCAACAGGUAUCUUGGGAGGAAAACAUCUAGUCACUGUAUUAUGAGUGACCAACUAGUAUUUAUAGGAGUACAAACCUAACCGACUAUUUACAAGAAUACCCUUACUAAUAUAUUAUCUACAAGAAUACUAAUAUUCUCCUAACACCCCCCUCAAGUUGGAGCAUAUAUAUCAUAAGCACCCAACUUGUUACAAAGGUAUUUCACCCUAGAGCCCCCUAAACUCUUGGUAAACAAAUCAGCCAAUUGAUCUGCAGACGGUACAUGAGAUGUCUUGAUGACUCCAUCAAGUAAUUUCUCUCGAAUGAAAUGACAAUCAACUUCAAUAUUUUUGUCCUUUCAUGAAACACUGGAUCAACUUCAAUGGCCAGUUUUUGUUAUUGUUUUAUUAAGAAAAAAGUGUUUAUCUCAAUAAUUUAUGAACUGGAAUAGGCAUGAGUAUCCUUUCUUUAAUUCUAAUAUAAGAAGACGUCAGAGAAGACAAUGGUAAGACAAUGAGAAAUUAAGCUAGUGGAGCUUUGGUUCUCCUUUCUUCACCUUGUAGUAGGGUUCCACAAAAAACCAUAGUUGCUUACUAGGGAAGAGAACGACCUAGUAACAGAAGAGGGUGUGCUUCAGAUAAUAUUACUACUGCAGAUUCUACUUAAUAGCUUUCAGUACUGGUGUGUGAACUUUGUAUAGGUAAAUUGCUUUAUUAAAUGAUACAUGCUUAUCCUCUGCAUUUCACCAUGUUUUAUCUAUAAGCAUGGGGAUGCUGCUCAACAUUUUCUGAUUUAUCUUAGGAUCUCAUCAUUCUGAGUAGAAAUGUCCACCUUUGUUGGAAUAGAUACUAUUUCUUAAACCCCAAUAUGCUGUGCUUCCCUGCGGUUUUUGCAUGUUCAUAUUCAUGCAAACUAAAAGUUUGAGCAUUAGAUUAAAAUAAGUAUUUCCUUAUUUGUGUUAUGUAGCUAGUGCUAAUCAUAAGAUGGUAGCCCUUUAUCUUGCUACUUUUCAUCUGAGCCUUUUCAUUAAUCCAUGCAGAUGUCUGAUUGACAAGAAAAUUAACAGGAGAAUUUUUUCCAAGCCAAUAGUGUUGAUGGUAGCUCAUUCACUUUGCACGUGUUCUUGGAUACAGCACUGAUUGAGAAGACAUGUGAUAUGCUGGUUGGGAUAUAUAUUAAAGUCUCAUGAAAUUUUAUUCUGCAGACUGAAGUCUAGAACCAUGAAAGAGUGUUCAAAUGUUCGGCAAGCAAGAACCGUCACAGAACUUUGUAUGUACAAUUUAGGUUUACUUUACAAGAGAUGAUUGUACUUUAGGGGCAAAAUUGCUUGCAUAAGCUAUUAUUAGUACCCAGAUUGUCUCUCAUUUUUUGCAUUUUAUAUUUUGAUGUUAUCUGAAUGAUUGCAAGCCAAUUUUGGUGGGUUAUUCUCAAGUCUUGUAUUCCUGGUCAGUUGCUGUAGUUGCUCGAUGUCUUCGUGUUAUUAUAUGAUCUGCAAACUGCAUCAUGCUUUGCCAGUAGUUCCUUUUAACUAUGAAAUUACAUGUGAGAUAGUUCGGACUUAUAUCUUAAGCAUGGAGUCAUCUGAAUUUUUAGCUUGUUACCCUUUUGGGAUUUUUGUUGGACUUGAUGCGCUGCAAUACUAGGGAGAAUUAUUUUGUUUAUUGAUGUAUUGUUGCCAUAUAUGCCCAACGCUCAAGUUAGGUGCUUUAAUCUUGGACCACAAUUUUGUAGUAAUUCAUAUUUGUGGCAUUGCUUCCUACUUUUUCUUAUAAUACUCCUUUUUCUUUUGUGAGUGGGAACUGGAAAAUGUCUUGAUCUCAAGGAAUGGCAUUAAUUUGUUAUUCCCCAUCCUUUUGCUUUUGCCUAAUCAUGUUAACAGAGUUGGGGAUGCCUCAUGUCAUAUGCAGUAUGGAUUUUCUCUGUGGUUGUCAGAUUGAUAGAAUCUAACAGUAAAAAAAACACAACACCAAAAAAGGGGUUUGAGUAUUUUAAUGCCUGUUUAACAUGAUUUGUAGGGGCGAUGCAUGGUUUUGCAGCGAAGAAUGCCGCCAGUCGAGCGCCAUAAAAGACUUGGAAUUAGAAGCAAUUCAGGAGCUGGCCCUGAUGCUUCAAAGGGCUAAGAUUAAGCAGGCUAACAGGGCCAAAGCAGUAAAAGAAAGUGAAGUCGCUUCAGGCAAGGACAAGAACAAGGGCAAGGGGAAAGGCAUCUUUUUCAUCGGAUGAUUUAAAUCCUCGAACAUGAAUAAAUAAGAUGGGCUAGCUAUUGCGUGAUGAUUUCCAUGGCUUGCAGGAACCAAUGUAAAAUUGUCAAUAGAGCCUGCCAUUUAGGGUCGUUGGAUAUUGUCCGUAUUGUAAUGGACUUCGUGUCUCUGAAUAUUAUUAAUGUUGCAAUGGACAUUAAUUUAUGUAAUGCCAUCUAUUUCUCCUUGAAUCCAUCAUAUUAGUUUUCUAAGUAAGUAUGACGAAUAUAUCUAGAAAAGGUCGUGAUUUUCUUUCCUAAUAAAUAAAAAAAAAAAAAACAAUAUUAACACAUAAUAGAUUUUGAUAGCUUUUUUUUUUUUUGGAUUUUAAUAGUUAUAAUUGUUUGUAUUUAUUACGUUAAGUUUUAUUUUCUCACACUGAAAUUAAUCUUCCAACGUAAUGGAGAAAAUUCAAUGGUUCCAACUAUCAAAUUCUUUGUAAUGAAUGAUACGUAAUAGAAGUACGUAGUAAAUUUCUUCGCUUUUAGUUUACGACAAUGGAGCAUUCUUCGCUUAAUUUGUUCUCUCAUGAAUUGAACUUUUUUGUUCUGAACAAAGAGAGAAAUUCAAGUAAAAUGUUACACUAUUAUGAAUUGCAUAUGCUCAUGAAAACACAAAAAAUGUAGUUUAAACUUGAAAGCAUCUACUGUGAGUUUUGUUCUUAUUUUUAUUUAUGCCUGCUCCUAUAUUUAUCAGGUCUAGGAAUUAAUAGAGUUCACUAGUAAGUCCCUAAGAGCUCCUCUAUGUCUAAUUUUAAUGAACUAUAUAUAUAUAUAUAUAUUAAUGGUAAAUCUAAGAUGUUUUACUCCAUUUUUAAUGAACUAAUCCAUCAAUAGAGCAAAAAAACAUUUAGAUUCAAAAUCUAAGCACCUAUCUGUCUGUAAAUUGCAAUUAGAGUCGAGUCACAAGAAAUGAUAUGAAAAUCUAGUAGUCUUUGAUUUAUUGUCCAUUGACUUCAUUUCUUGAUUGGCAUGGAUGUGGCUCAUUUUUUGAUGCACGUGACAAUAAAACUGUACUUGCAACCAACUGUCAUUUUUCUGUUGGAACCCGACUCGGAAGCUGUAGAGCCCGACCCGACCUUCCAUCUUUACGAAUGAACCAGGAAUAAUAGGGAUAAAAUGUAGCCAGAAUCAAGAUUCUGCCUUGCGGGUGCUUAGCACUCAUCUUAAAAGCAAGAAAAAGAGGACAGAUUUUCACCAAUGGGUUUUCUGAGGGGAAGUUGUUGCCUUUUGCAUUCUCCGAUCCACCGUUCUAUCUUGUUGAUCCCCUCUUCAUCAUCAUCAUCAUCUUCUUCUUCUUCCUUCUCUCACUCAAGUUGCUUGUUUUCACCUUUGAAAAUGGGGCAAAACAGAAGGAAGAGAACAAGAAUUUCUGCUUGCAUGAGCCAAGAAACUGGAAAUGAAAGGAGCUCAGGUGCAAGAAGGUUCGUUCUUUUUGUGGGUUUUUCAGUUAUUCCCGUUCUCAAAUUGACUGCCAAGGCUUUUGAAAGCUGGCCCCAAGGUAAGUGCUUUUAAGAGUUAAAACUUUUCCUCAGCAUCAUUUACCUUGUUUUUGUUAUUAGCACUAGUUUGUUGUGUUUUAAUAAUCUUGAAUUUUGAAGUGAUGAAGUCUUCCUUGUUCUAAAAAUGUUUUAUGAGAAGUUAAUUUGCGUGAUGAAUUUGGUUUCUCGCAUUUACUACUGAGCGUCGAAGUCUAUCUGAAGACUGUUAUUCAUUUGACUUAGUUAACAAUAUCUGCCUUUUCUUGAUUGUGAUUCUGUAGUUCCUACCUUAUUGAGUCCUUUGUUGAGGUACUAUUGGAAUUUAUAUCAACUCUGAUAUAUGUUUAUUGAAGAGCCAAAACCCAAAAAAAACCCAAAAAAAAAAAAAACUUAUAGUUACCUUGUUUGCUGAGAUGAUUGAAGAAUUUUGGAAGGAUAAAUUUGGACAAAAAUAUCAGACUAGUAAUACAUUGCUGAAAUCACAUCUUCAUUGAAAUUGAGCUCCAACCUUAUUUUUAUCCGGAGUCUAUGUUAUGAAACCAAGAAUGUACUUUUCUCAAGAAGAAGUGGAAGAAACCAACAUUACUCGCUAAAUGUAGAGCAGCUCCAGAGGCUUAUAAUUUCUUUGGAGGUGCGCUACAGUUCCUAAAACGAGUCUCAAGGGGGUGAUAAAAUGGUCAAGGGGAUAUUUGGUUGGCAUGAUUUGAUGGUCAAGGGGCUGAGAAUGACUUGCUAGCUUGGUUAUGAUAGAGAAUAUGGGGUAGUUUUCUUCUUUUUUCUCUUCUUGGGAUUCUUGCUUUCUGUGUUUUCUUUUGUUAUAACAAAAGAAAAAGCUCUGAGGUUAAGAAGCCAUCACUAACUUCUUCCUAAAUAGAAGGAGCUUCUUAAAUGAUUGUCUUGUCUUGCAGGUGGUAUUUCUGCUUUUCAAAAUGCUCAAACUUCACCUUACAGAGUUUUUUUCCCCCUUUAAUUGCGAAAUCAGCAUUUUGAACCAUGUUGGGCUUUUACUAUAACUUUUGGAGCUUUGGAAGGAAUGUAAAAAACUUUGAGAGACCUCGUCAGAAAUCAGCAGAAUGGUAAAGUGUUUAAAAGAAAAUUGACAAAGUAACCUUCUUGGAGCAGGGUUAGAGUUGCUAGUUUUACCCAUGGUGCCUCAUCCCUUAGACGGUCAAGCCUAAAACUUAGUUCAGCUUGUACAGCACAUGCUAUAAAAUGUAAAUAAUGUAUUCCAUUGGCUUGUAUGAGCAUUCUGUGUAAUUCUGAUUUUGACCAUGCAAAUGAUGGAACAAUGUCAUAUUCUUUAGGCAAAAGACUCCACUCCAGCAUAUAUAGGUUACUGAUUCAGCUUGAUCUUAGCAAGCUAUUGAUCACAAUGGGCUAAUUCUGAAUGCUGAAAAAAUAGGGCAAAUGCUGAGAAUAGGCUGAAGUUUUAUUAUAAAAGUGAACCAGAACUAGAAAACUCAACUGAUAAAGAGCAAAAUGUGAAAUUCAAACCCUAUGUGUCUUCUGCCACAUAAGUUCUAAAAUAUGGUUACCUCAGUUAUCUUUCGAUAUUACAUUAGCUUUUGUGGAUGAUUUUCCUUGUCUUUAGGCACUGAAUAUCACAAUAGGGCCACUUCUAGUAAAUGAACUUUUUGCUUCACUAUUAACAGACCACUAAAGUUAUGGAGUUAUGGAGUUUAAAUUUUGUCCAGAGAAUUACUUAAAUGUUACCAUAUAACAGUAUAUGACACUUCCGUCAACUUGUUCUUUUCAGCAAGUAAUAAUAGCUUGAAUGGUCUUGGCCUACUCUUGAAAGAAAGCAAAUUUGCAUUUGUUCUCAGCAGGACACAUCAUAGGCUUUUAUAAAUGACAUAUUUUUAAAUGUAGGCCCACUGUUAGCCCUCAUUCAAACUGUGACUUUACAGCCUCAAUUGCUGUCUAGAGAUCUUUAAUCCUUUCCUAAAAUCACCAUAUUUCCUAUUUUUUGUUUUCCUUUUUCAGAUGGUUCUGACCUAAAAUCUGUGGAACAGGACCGCAGAGCUGAGGUAUGAUAAUUCAGACAUCUGGCUGAAGAAGGUUUUUAAAUCAGUAAAUCUCUUUAAUUUUUAUGCUUCGACAUUUUUAAAGCAAUUGGAUGUUUUGAGGUGAAUAUUAUCUUUUGUCAGCAAAAACAUCAAGGAGAUGCAUCACACAACCCCUUUGUUUCACUUCUCAGUGGACUUGGAAUUUUGGGUUCUGGUGUGCUUGGUGCUCUAUAUAUGCUGUCCCUAAAGGAGAAGGCAACUUCUGAGGCUGCCAUUGAAUCUGUAAGUAUUGAAAAUGAGCUUAAACAUACUAAACUCUGAAUGUCAGGGCUUACAACCUUCCUGCACGAGGCAUAUGAACUUUGACAUUUAGGGUUAUCUAUAAUAGCUAAAAAGUGUUCACUUUCUCUGCAUGGAGCAGCUUCACUAGAUGCCCUGGAAUAUAUACGCGUUGUAAUUGUCUAGAUACUGAUUUUUACUUGAUGUACUAGAACUUCACAUUCUUUUCCUCUCUUCCUGUUAAACAUCUUUAAUUCUAAAAUGAGUGUUCAUGUGGUCAAAGCAUGUUUUUCUAGUUCACCACUUAACAGGCACCUCAGCUGGCAACCUCAAAAUGAUUACUAAAGCCCUUAUUUUCGAUCUAGCCUAGGAUGCUUAAACAGUGGCUAUAUUUACCUGUUAUCUUGGUUUUACCUGAUUACUGUGACUUGAAAUACAAAGUUUUGGAGAUUUUAUUUAGUUGGUUUCUAAAAAAGAGUUUCUUGGGCCCUCGUCAUUGAACUCAAAUGCUUCUAUUUGCAGAUGAGAACAAAACUGAAGGAGGAAGAAGCUGCCAUUGUUUCAAUGGAGAAGAAAUUUCGGUCAGAUUUGAUGAAUGAGAAGGAAAGUCGAAAUCAGCAAGUUACAAAAUUCCAUGAAGAGCAGCGAUCUUUGGUUAGCAAGUUGAAAUCAGCAAAUGAUACUGUAGUAGGCCUAGGACAGGAGCUGCAAAAAGAAAGAAAAGUGAUUGGAGAGCUCAAAGCAACAAUUGAUGGUCUUCAAACUGACCUUGUGAAGGCUCGGGAAGAUAAAAAAGAAAUACAAGAAAAGUUAACGGAGAAGCUGGA